rnacentral:lncRNA from 1 species
CCCCGGGAGAGCCCCCCAAGACACCUGGGGACCCUCAGAGACCCUCAGGAAACCCCAAGGGACACCUGGAGACCCCCAAGAGCUCAGGAGAAACCUGGGGACCCUCAUGGGACCCCCGGACCCCCCAUAAUGUGUGGGACACCCCCCGAUUUUUGGGACCCCACCCCCGUUUUUUCCUCAAUAAACUCGGUUUCUGCCGCGGCCUCGCUGUGCAAUGACGCAGUUUGUGGCGUCACACACCCGCAGAAUUGGGUCACUGUCUCUUUAAGAGCGGGGGCGUGGCCUUGCAGCCAAUCACCGUGCGGCGCGAUGACAUCACCCGCCGAAGGGGCGUGGUUCCUGCCAAGCCACGCCCCCGGGGCGCCCAGGUCCCCCCAAAAAACUUCCCCGGCUCCCCCCGGCCAUGGAGCCCCCCCGAGCGGCGCCCCCUCCCCCCGAGAUGGAAUUUGGGGGGCCCUGGGGCGCGGGGGCUCUGUCGCUGCUCCUCCCUUUGGGGCUCGUGGGGGGUCGUGAGCGCCACGGUGGGGGGGGGGGGGGGGCUGGGGGGCCCCUCCCCCCGCCCUGGCCGUGCCCACCCCCGCGCUCGCGCUGGUGCUGGCCUGGGUGGGGGCGCUCGGAAUGGGGGGCUGGAGACCCCCGAGGAGCCCCGGUGACCCCCCAGGACCCCUCCGGGACCUCGGCUGGCUGCUGUUGCUGGGGGGGGCCCUGGGGGGGUCCCUGGCCCUGGGGGUCCCCCUGCCCCCCCUGUGCCCCCUCCUCCCCCCGCUGGCCGCGGCCGCCUCCAGCGUCGCCUUCGGCCUCGCCCUCCUCAUCCUCGCGCGGCGGCGGCUGCGGGCGGGGGGCACCGGACACCCCGUGUAUGAAUUCUUCGUGGGGGGAGGAGCGGGGACCCCCCUGGAGCCCCCCGAGAAUCUGAACUGGGAGCGGGUCGGGCUCUGCGCCUGGGAGCUGAGCGCGAGUCCUGCCCCCGGCCCCGGGGGGUUCCUGGGGCUCUUUGGGGGUCUCGCCUGGGGCCCUUUCGGGGGUCCCCUCCCAGCGCUGCUGCUGCUGAGGAGACCCCAGCAGGGGGCUGGGGGGCGCCGCGGGGGCGGCCUGUGGGGGGCUCUACGGUGGGCACGGGGGCGUACUGGGGGAACUGGGGAGUUCUGGGGGGAUUUGGGGGGGAAUUGGGGGAUACUGGGGGGCACUGG